GGACUGCUGGUGACACGUGUCAAGACUAGA
rnacentral:piRNA from 1 species